rnacentral:tRNA from 1 species
AGAAGCUUAGGUUAACCACAGACCGGACAACACACCUAGCCCCCCUGACCUAAUAACUAUUUAGCUCCUG